AACAGCUAUAAUGUACUUGAUCUUGAUUAUCCAAACAUGGAUAACUGUGGCAAUUCUAGAGCUAAUACAUGCACCAAAGCUCCGACUUUUGGACGAGCGCAUCUAUUAGAUUAAAACCAAUCGGGCUUAACGGCCCGCCAUAAUGGUGACUCUGAAUAGCUCUGGCUGAUCGCAUGGUCUUGUACCGGCGACAUAUCUAUCAAGUGUCUGCCUUAUCAACUUUCGAUGGUAGUUUAUGUGCCUACCAUGGUUGUAACGGGUAACGGAGAAUAAGGGUUCGACUCCGGAGAGGGAGCCUGAGAAACGGCUACCACAUCCAAGGAAGGCAGCAGGCGCGCAAAUUACCCACUCUCGGCAUGAGGAGGUAGUGACGAAAAAUAACGAGACCGUUCUCUUUGAGGCCGGUUAUCGGAAUGGGUACAAUUUAAACCCGUUAACGAGGAUCUAUGAGAGGGCAAGUCUGGUGCCAGCAGCCGCGGUAAUUCCAGCUCUCAAAGUGUAUAUCGUCAUUGCUGCGGUUAAAAAGCUCGUAGUUGGAUCUGCGUCUUAGGACCUGGUCCGUCCAUUGGACGUGAACUAGGCUCCUAGACUAAAAUUAUGCCAGUUUUCUUUACGUUACCUUGAUCGGUUGCGUAAGGUUGCCGGCGAGUUUACCUUGAAAAAAUUAGAGUGCUCAAAGCGGGCUUUUAUGCCUGAAUACUCGUGCAUGGAAUAAUGAAAUAGGAUCUCGGUUCUAUUUUGUUGGUUUUCUGAUCUGAGAUAAUGGUUAAGAGGGACGGACGGGGGCAUUCGUAUCGCUGCGUGAGAGGUGAAAUUCUUGGACCGUAGCGAGACGCCCGACUGCGAAAGCAUUUGCCAAGAAUGUCUUCAUUAAUCAAGAACGAAAGUCAGAGGUCGG
rnacentral:rRNA from 1 species